rnacentral:rRNA from 1 species
UACAGAGGUCUCAAGCGUUGUUCGGAUCCAUUGGGCGUAAAGGGCGCGUAGGUGGUUCUGUAUGUCUACCGUGAAAGCGUACGGCUCAACCGUAUUUUGUCGGUAGAAACUGCAGGACUUGAGGCUGGGAGGGGCUGGUGGAAUUCCCUGUGUAGCGGUGAAAUGCGCAGAUAUCAGGAAGAACACCCGUGGCGAAGGCGGCUCUCUGGGACGGUACUGACGCUGAGACGCGAAAGCGUGGGGAGCGAACAGG